AUGGAGGGGAAGGAGGAGGACGUGCGGCUGGGCGCCAACAGGUACUCGGAGCGGCAGCCCAUCGGGACGGCGGCGCAGGGCGGCGGCGACGACAAGGACUACAAGGAGCCGCCCCCGGCUCCCCUAUUCGAGCCCGGGGAGCUCAAGUCCUGGUCCUUCUACCGCGCGGGCAUCGCCGAGUUCAUCGCCACCUUCCUCUUCCUCUACGUCACCGUGCUCACCGUCAUGGGCGUCUCCAAGUCCCCCUCCAAGUGCGCCACCGUCGGCAUCCAGGGCAUCGCCUGGUCCUUCGGCGGCAUGAUCUUCGCGCUCGUCUACUGCACCGCCGGCAUCUCAGGAGGACACAUCAACCCAGCGGUGACUUUUGGGCUGUUCUUAGCCAGGAAGCUGUCCCUGACCAGGGCCAUCUUCUACAUAAUUAUGCAAUGCCUAGGGGCCAUCUGUGGAGCUGGAGUGGUGAAGGGCUUCCAGCAGGGUCUGUACACGGGCAACGGUGGCGGCGCCAAUGUAGUCGCCAGUGGCUACACCAAGGGCGAUGGCCUUGGCGCUGAGAUCAUUGGCACCUUCGUCUUGGUCUACACCGUUUUCUCUGCUACUGAUGCCAAGAGGAAUGCCAGAGACUCCCAUGUUCCUAUCCUGGCCCCUCUGCCGAUUGGGUUCGCGGUGUUCCUGGUCCACCUGGCCACCAUCCCCAUCACUGGCACCGGCAUCAACCCAGCGAGGAGCCUUGGCGCUGCCAUCAUCUACAACAGGGACCAUGCCUGGAAUGACCAUUGGAUCUUCUGGGUGGGCCCCUUCGUGGGCGCUGCCCUGGCGGCCGUGUACCACCAGGUGAUCAUCAGAGCAAUUCCCUUCAACAAGAGCAGGUCCUAA
rnacentral:rRNA from 1 species